rnacentral:rRNA from 1 species
AGUUUGAUCAUGGCUCAGAUUGAACGCUGGCGGCAGGCCUAACACAUGCAAGUCGAACGGUAACAGGAAACAGCUUGCUGUUUCGCUGACGAGUGGCGGACGGGGGAGUAAUGUCUGGGAAACUGCCUGAUGGAGGGGGAUAACUACUGGAAACGGUAGCUAAUACCGCAUAACGUCGCAAGACCAAAGAGGGGGACCUUCGGGCCUCUUGCCAUCGGAUGUGCCCAGAUGGGAUUAGCUAGUAGGUGGGGUAACGGCUCACCUAGGCGACGAUCCCUAGCUGGUCUGAGAGGAUGACCAGCCACACUGGAACUGAGACACGGUCCAGACUCCUACGGGAGGCAGCAGUGGGGAAUAUUGCACAAUGGGCGCAAGCCUGAUGCAGCCAUGCCGCGUGUAUGAAGAAGGCCUUCGGGUUGUAAAGUACUUUCAGCGGGGAGGAAGGGAGUAAAGUUAAUACCUUUGCUCAUUGACGUUACCCGCAGAAGAAGCACCGGCUAACUCCGUGCCAGCA